rnacentral:lncRNA from 1 species
AUGUCACAUACAGAAUUAUACAGACUGAGGCCAUUCGUGUUUACCUUUCCCCCCCCCAACUGCACAAGGUUUUUCAGCUCCAUCCAUGUUGCUGCAGGUAUUAACGGUACGUCCCUCUUGCCUCUGUUUUGGAGAACUUCCCAUGUGUGCCAAGGGUCGGGUAUGUUUACCUGCAGUAUCUCACCUGGAAUGCUCACAACCAUCCUGCUUCACCGUGGAGGGGCCCAAGGCUCAGGGAGCCCAGCCGUGGAGUCUGGGGAGGGGCCCCAGGCCGACUCCCGCCAGGCGAUCAGCCCGGCGGCUCCGCACACCACGCUCCGGAGCCCGACCUGCGGCACCUGCCGUCCAGCUCCAGGGGGCGGAUGGGGCCUGGCCUCGCACAGGCUGGGGCCGGACAGCUCGGGACUGAGGCCGCGCGGAGGCUCCCCGAGGUCGGAGCCCCCGGCCCAGCCGCCGGCCUCGGGGGAGCAGCCGGCCGCCGCUGAGCGGCCCGCCGCGGCCACUUCCACGAGCGGAGGCGGGACCGCCGCGGAGUUCCGGGGGCGCGGAGGGGCGGCCGCAGCUACCGCCACGACCGCGUCUCCGCGCGGGCCGCCGAUCGGGCCGCGUGCCUGGGCGCUUCACCCCGCGCCGCCCCGGCGUUUCCCUCCGCGCGCGGACGGCGCUACUUCCCGCCUCGGCCACCGGGCGCGGGAGCCGGGUCGUCGGCGUGGGCGCGGCGCCAAGCGACGCCGCCGCGCUGCCCCCUCCGCCCGAGGGGCGACGGCGAAGCGCGCGGGCCUCCGCUUCCAGAGGUGGCCGCCGCGGCCCAGCCCCCAGAAGGGAACGGAUGAGGUCGGCGGGCCGCGGUCGUUUCCCCCUCCGCGGCCGCGUCGCUACGAUGCUAUCUGGAGACUUCAUCUUAGGGACGCAGUGGAAACAAAGAUGAUGGUGUUUUGCCCUGUGGCGUGGAGCGGCCCGCCCGCCGCUAUUGUCUGGCUGCCUGACGGGCGCAGCAGCUCUAUUUUUCUUACUCCGAACGUGGUUAUUCGGGGGCAGCAGAGGGACUUACAAGGAGGCUUUGUCUGCAGUAAAAGAGCUGUUGCGAAACGGCCUCUCCUGAAUGGCCGCCCGGCCGCCCUCAGCGGGGACCGCGCAGGGGACCGCUGGCGAUUUUUUUCCCCCCAUAUCAAUUAA